rnacentral:rRNA from 1 species
GGGGAAUUUUCCGCAAUGGGCGAAAGCCUGACGGAGCAAUACCGCGUGAGGGAGGAAGGCUCUUGGGUUGUAAACCUCUUUUCUCAGGGAAGAAUGAUGACGGUACCUGAGGAAUAAGCAUCGGCUAACUCCGUGCCAGCAGCCGCGGUAAUACGGAGGAUGCAAGCGUUAUCCGGAAUGAUUGGGCGUAAAGCGUCCGCAGGUGGCAAUGUAAGUCUGCUGUCAAAGCGUCUGGCUCAACCAGAUAAAGGCAGUGGAAACUACAUAGCUAGAGUAAGGUAGGGGUAGAGGGAAUUCCUGCUGUAGCGGUGAAAUGCGUACAGAUCAGGAAGAACACCGGUGGCGAAAGCGCUCUGCUGGACCUUAACUGACACUGAGGGACGAAAGCUAUGGGAGCGAAUGGGAUUAUAUACCCCAGUAGUCCUAAUCGUAAACGAUGGAUACUAAGCGUUGCCCGUAUCGAACCGGGCAGUGUCGUAACUAACGCGUUAAGUAUCCCGCCUGGGGAGUACGCACGCAACUGUGAAACUCAAAGGAAUUGACGGGGGCCCGCACAAGCGGUGGAGUAUGUGGUUUAAUUCGAUGCAACGCGAAGAACCUUACCAGGGCUUGACAUGUCCGGAAUCCUCUUGAAAGGGAGGAGUGCCUUCGGGAGCCGGAACACAGGUGGUGCAUGGCUGUCGUCAGCUCGUGUCGUGAGAUGUUGGGUUAAGUCCCGCAACGAGCGCAACCCUCGUUCUUAGUUGCCAUCAUUAAGUUGGGAACUCUAAGGAGACUGCCGGUGACAAACCGGAGGAAGGUGGGGAUGACGUCAAGUCAGCAUGCCCCUUACGCCCUGGGNUACACACGUACUACAAUGCUAUGGACAAAGGGCAGCAAGCCAGCGAUGGCAAGCAAAUCUCGUAAACCAUGGCUCAGUUCAGAUCGCAGACUGCAACUCGCCUGCGUGAAGUCGGAAUCGCUAGUAAUUGCAGGUCAGCAUACUGCAGUGAAUUCGUUCCCGGGCNUUGUACACACCGGCCCGUCACACCAUGGAAGCUGGUCACGCCCGAAGUCGUUACCCUAMCCUUUCGAGGAGGGGGACGCCGAAGGUAGGACUGGUGACUGGGGU